CCUGGUGUCGAGAGCAAACCGGUCCCACCUCUUCCCAUUUUGAACAAAGAAGUUAAACGGUUUUACGGCGAAAAUACUGCUUCGGCGGGAACAUAGCGAGAUGCCAGGA
rnacentral:rRNA from 1 species